UUAGAAGUCUGGACUAAACCCAAUAGUGAAAAAUAUCACCCAAUGUAUAGAUCUUCUCUAAACUAUUUUAAAGAAAAUUAGCUCUUCCCAUUUUCUUUGGUAACUAGAGUGGCCUUUUUGGUUAAAGAUAAACAGCUUCUACACAGUAUAUGAUGGUGCAUGCAUCUUUUUUUCCGAAUAUGACAUUGUAUACUAUUGUACUGUUGCACUUUCUAUAUGAUGCAUUAGCAAUUAUCUAAAUCUUGCAAGCCUUAAAAAGAUAGGCAAUCGUUCCUUCAUUAUUUUGCAGAAGUACCACUUGAAUCAUCACUACCGGGUCCAGAUCCUUGGCUUUGGCAUCACGUCACCAUUCUGGGAUAAGGUUUUUGGAACGGUUCCCCCUCCAUCAAAGGUGGAUGCCAAGCGUAGAAGUAACGGUUGAGCCUGCAUUUGUUCAUUGGUUAAUUAUAGCAGAUUGAGGAGUUUAGACAAAAAAAAGGUAAACUCUUUGUGCACAUUCCUCUCUCUUCUAACUUAGGAAGGAACAUUGACUACACAGUUGAUGGCAAUUAGGAAGAAGGCAGAAGGAACAUUGACUACACAGUUGAUGGCAAUUAGCAAGAAGGCAGCCGCUACUGCUAAUUGUUGAGCUUAAACAAGCAGCAUACCUAUGUGAUGGGAAUUCGUUGAUAGUAUGAAAGGAAACACAAAAUUGUAUGUUUGAAUUGGUGACGAGUUUGGAUAAAUUACAGUGACACUGCGGUUUCAUUUAAACUUUAAUGUGUAGUUUUUGCUAAAAUCAGAAUGAGUUACCGGUGAUUCUUCCAAACUUCGCUUCAAUACAAACAUACACACAGUGACAACAUUGACUACCGGUGUAGUUUUUGUAUGAUAUUUAACAUCUUUUCCAUUCAAUGUGAAACUCUUACUUAGA